rnacentral:SRP_RNA from 1 species
UUGUGCUAAGCGGGGAGUCAGCGGUGCCCUGUAUCUGCAAUCCGCUAUAGCAGAGCUGAAAUCCCGAUUGAGGCAGUUGGAGCGGACUGACAAGAGAGAGCAUUUUGUGUUGAAGGCCGGGUCCUAUGCAACAGGAUUCUGUGAACCCCGUCAGGUCCGAGAGGAAGCAGCGGUAAGCAGUCCAUUCUGGGUGCUGUAGGGUUGCCUGGCCGGAGCGAAGUCUUUCUGGAGAAAGUUUUUUUCCUCUGCCAAGAAAGGGUGCACAA